CACCAGAGCAUUGCUCCAGCUCUUCCAGGAAAGAAACGUGUUUUCACCCAUUUUCUAAGGUUUCCAGAGCCAUGCAGUGUGUUAAUAUCUGUGUGCAGCCCAGGCUGUAGUCAGUUCUUUCUAUGGCUGCAAGGAUGGCUUUGCUCUCACUCCUUUGCUGGCUUUUUGAGCUGCCCAGAUGGCAGACUUGGAGCAUCAGGCAUGGGGCAAGCACAGACCUCUCUGCCCCCCGUGUCCCCCCAUGGCACCCCUGGCCCUGACACCACCCUCCCUUGCCGAGGGCAGGCAGGUCUGGGGCUCCACCACGGUGCAUCGAAUGUGCGAGCUGCCCUUAGAUCAUGUGUCAAAGGAAUAAUGACAUGCAUGGGAUAAGUAGCAGUCUGCCUCUGGAAGCCCAAACAUCUGAAAUGGAAAAUUCUGCAGAAUUUAGAUAAAGAUUUGAAUAUACUGCUGUGGAGCUAAGAAUAGACCAUAUUAUUUAUAUCGUCAAAGGAAGCGGCAGAAAUCACAGAGAUCUUCAGAGACUAAAGAUGCUCAGACAGUUCUGCACAGGAAUUGUGCUCGCGGAGCUGACGCGGAAAGUUACUGACGUCUCAGCACAGGCACGCUGCUCCCAGAGGGCCCACGGACAGGCAGCAUUUCAUGCAGAAGAGAAAUGCCAGGCUUUUCCCUCCUGGAAGACACACUCAAGAGGCAUUCUGAAAUAGUGGGCAUGAGCUGAUCUCGUGGAACAGCCUGCGUGUCCUCAAAAACAACAGAAGAGUGUUCAUCUUUACAAGCUUUAUGGCUGAUAGAGUACUGAUGGAUAGAUAAUUACAAUCCUGAUGGAUGAUAGCUUUUUAAUUGGAGAAACCACAAUAAACCUAUCUGAUCUA